rnacentral:snoRNA from 1 species
GGUGGCUCAGUGAUUGUUGCCAAUCAGAUUUGGUCAUAUACGCUAUUCUGAUUUCUAUUGGUGAAAAAGAAAAUUUAUGAGAGCUGCU